GGUGACGCAGGAAGGUAGCUGAGCCAGUCAGUGGUAAUACUGGUGUAAGCGUGUAGGGCGUGACCUAGGCAAAUCCGGGUCACAUACAGCCUGAGACGUGAUGCGUAGCCGAUUGAGGCGAAUUCAGUGAUCCUAUGCUGCCGAGAAAAGCCUCUAGCGAGCUUUCACACGGCCCGUACCCCAAACCGACACAGGUGGUCAGGUAGAGAAUACUAAGGCGAUCGAGAUAACUGUGGUUAAGGAACUCGGCAAAAUGCCCCCGUAACUUCGGGAGAAGGGGGGCCUCGUCUGGUGACGGAACUUGCUUCCUGAGCUGGGUGGGGCCGCAGAGACCAGAGAGAAGCGACUGUUUACUAAAAACACAGGUCCGUGCGAAGUCGUAAGACGAUGUAUACGGACUGACGCCUGCCCGGUGCUGGAAGGUUAAGAGGACCGGUUAGCCAGUAAUGGCGAAGCUGAGAAUUUAAGCCCCAGUAAACGGCGGUGGUAACUAUAACCAUCCUAAGGUAGCGAAAUUCCUUGUCGGGUAAGUUCCGACCUGCACGAAUGGCGUAACGACUUCUCUGCUGUCUCAACCACAGACUCGGCGAAAUUGCAUUACGAGUAAAGAUGCUCGUUACGCGCGGCAGGACGAAAAGACCCGGGACCUUCACUAUAGCUUGGUAUUGGUGUUCGGUUCGGUUUGUGUAGGAUAGGUGGGAGACUGUGAAGCGGCACGCCAGUGUUCGUGGAGUCGUUGUUGAAAUACCACUCUGAUCGUAUUGGACAUCUAACCUCGGACCAUGAUCUGGUUCAGGGACAGUGCCUGGUGGGUUUUAACUGGGGCGGUUGCCUCCCAAAAUGUAACGGAGGCGCCCAAAGGUUCCCUCAGCCUGGUUGGCAAUCAGGUGUCGAGUGCAAGUGCACAAGGGAGCUUGACUGUGAGACUGACAGGUCGAGCAGGGACGAAAGUCGGGACUAGUGAUCCGGCACCGGCAAGUGGAAGCGGUGUCGCUCAACGGAUAAAAGGUACCCCGGGAUAACAGGCUGAUCUUCCCCAAGAGUCCAUAUCGACGGGAUGGUUUGGCACCUCGAUGUCGGCUCGUCGCAUCCUGGGGCUGGAGUAGGUCCAAGGGUUGGGCUGUUCGCCCAUUAAAGCGGCACGCGAGCUGGGUUUAGAACGUCGUGAGACAGUUCGGUCUCUAUCCGCCGCGCGCGUUAGAAACUUGAGGAAGGCUGUCCCUAGUACGAGAGGACCGGGACGGACGAACCUCUGGUGUGCCAGUUGUUCCGCCAGGAGCACUGCUGGUUAGCUACGUUCGGAAGGGAUAACCGCUGAAAGCAUCUAAGCGGGAAGCCUGUUCCAAGAUGAGGUUUCUCACCCCCUCGAGGGGGUAAGGCCCCCGGCAGACCACCGGGUUGAUAGGCCAGAACUGGAGCACAGUAAUGUGUGGAGGUGACUGGUACUAAUAGGCCGAGGACUUACCACAA
rnacentral:rRNA from 1 species